rnacentral:rRNA from 1 species
CCUACGGGAGGCAGCAGUAGGGAAUUUUGCGCAAUGGGGGAAACCCUGACGCAGCAACGCCGCGUGAUCGAUGAAGCUCUUCGGGGUGUUAAGAUCUGUCAGCGGGGACGAAACGUGACGGUACCCACAGCGUAAGCACCUGCUUACUCCGUGCCAGCAGCCGCGGUAAUAAGGGGGGUGCAAGCGUUGUCCGGAAUCACUGGGCGUAAAGGGUUCGUAGGUGGCUCGUUAAGUCUGGUGUUAAAGGCGGAAGCUCAACUUCCGUAGGGCACUGGAUACUGGCGAGCUUGAUUGCGGUAGAGGUAAAGGGAAUUCGUGGUGUAGCGGUGAAAUGCGUAGAUAUCAGGAGGAACCUCGGUGGCGUAAGCGCUAUACUGGGCCGUAAUUGACACUGAGGAACGAAAGCCGGGGUAGCAAAUGGGAUUAGAUACCCGAGUAGUC